ACGAACGCUGGCGGCGUGCCUAAUACAUGCAAGUUGAGCGCUGAAGGUUGGUACUUGUACCAACUGGAUGAGCAGCGAACGGGUGAGUAACGCGUGGGGAAUCUGCCUUUGAGCGGGGGACAACAUUUGGAAACGAAUGCUAAUACCGCAUAAAAACUUUAAACACAAGUUUUAAGUUUGAAAGAUGCAAUUGCAUCACUCAAAGAUGAUCCCGCGUUGUAUUAGCUAGUUGGUGAGGUAAAGGCUCACCAAGGCGAUGAUACAUAGCCGACCUGAGAGGGUGAUCGGCCACAUUGGGACUGAGACACGGCCCAAACUCCUACGGGAGGCAGCAGUAGGGAAUCUUCGGCAAUGGACGAAAGUCUGACCGAGCAACGCCGCGUAAGUGAAGAAGGUUUUCGGAUCGUAAAACUCUGUUGGUAGAGAAGAACGUUGGUGAGAGUGGAAAGCUCAUCAAGUGACGGUAACUACCCAGAAAGGGACGGCUAACUACGUG
rnacentral:rRNA from 1 species